rnacentral:rRNA from 1 species
CUACGGGGGGCUCCAGUGGGGAAUAUUGCACAAUGGGCGCAAGCCUGAUGCAGCCAUGCCGCGUGUAUGAAGAAGGCCUUCGGGUUGUAAAGUACUUUCAGCGGGGAGGAAGGGAGUAAAGUUAAUACCUUUGCUCAUUGACGUUACCCGCAGAAGAAGCACCGGCUAACUCCGCGCCAGCAGCCGCGGUACUACGGAGGGUGCAAGCGUUAAUCGGAAUUACUGGGCGUAAAGCGCACGCAGGCGGUUUGUUAAGUCAGAUGUGAAAUCCCCGGGCUCAACCUGGGAACUGCAUCUGAUACUGGCAAGCUUGAGUCUCGUAGAGGGGGGUAGAAUUCCAGGUGUAGCGGUGAAAUGCGUAGAGAUCUGGAGGAAUACCGGUGGCGAAGGCGGCCCCCUGGACGAAGACUGACGCUCAGGUGCGAAAGCGUGGGGAGCAAACAGGAUUAGAUACCCUAGUAGUC